UACGGGGGGAGCAAGCGUUGUUCGGAUUUACUGGGCGUAAAGGGCGCGUAGGCGGUCGUGACAAGUCACUUGUGAAAUCUCCGGGCUUAACUCGGAACGGUCAAGUGAUACUGUCGGACUAGAGUACAGAAGGGGCAACUGGAAUUCUCGGGUGUAGCGGUGAAAUGCGUAGAUAUCGAGAGGAACACCUGCGGCGAAGGCGGGUUGCUGGGCUGACACUGACGCUGAGGCGCGAAAGCUAGGGGAGCGAACGGG
rnacentral:rRNA from 1 species